rnacentral:rRNA from 1 species
GAUGAACGCUAGCGGUAGGCUUAACACAUGCAAGUCGAGGGGCAGCACAGGUAGCAAUACUUGGUGGCGACCGGCGCACGGGUGAGUAACGCGUAUGCAACCUACCUAUAACUGGAAAAUAGCCCUCCGAAAGGAGGAUUAAUGUUCCAUAAUGUUCGAAGGCCGCAUGGUUUUCGGACUAAAGCUCCGACGGUUAUAGAUGGGCAUGCGUGACAUUAGCUAGUUGGUGAGGUAACGGCUCACCAAGGCUACGAUGUCUAGGGGGUCUUAAAGGAUGAUCCCCCACACUGGUACUGAGACACGGACCAGACUCCUACGGGUGGCUG